rnacentral:hammerhead_ribozyme from 1 species
AUCCAGCUCACAAGUCCCAAAUGGGACGAAACACGAGUCCUGGAU